UUAUACUAGUUUAGUAUUAAAUCUGCGACCCUUAUUUUGGGAUGGUGGGAGUAUAAUAUUUCCAGACAAAAGUAACCCUUUUUAGUGUAUUUUGCGCAUGUAUAGAAUCUAUUUUAUACUCCCUCUGUAUCUAAAUAGUUGUAGUUGGGGAGUUAGGUACAGAGGGAGUAGUAAAAACUUGUCAGCUAUAUGUUUAGGUUGAUUGGUCGGAAGGUUGCCAAGAAAUUGUAUUUGGUUGUGUGUUGAGUUGUAUCAUCUGAACAAUUACUCUGCAAAUUAACUUGCAAGUCAUAGCAUCGUAGUUGUUGCUCCAUCAUAGUCAGUUAUAGCAACUGCGACUGCCGGACGCAGCUCGCCAUAGCCGCUCGCAGCUUCCACCGACGCCGGCUGAGCUUGCACAAACGUCGGUUGUAGCAAAAAACAUUGUCGUCGGCGUCGGAUCUGCAUCAUCAUCGUGAAAACGCCUGCGCCGGUCCGCAUCAUCAUCGUGAAAACAGUUGUAGCAUUAGUCAACGUCGCCACACCGGUUUGCAGCUCCGGUGUACAUGAUGAAAACGGUUGUAGCAUUAGUCCACGUCGUCAUACCGGUUUGCAAACGGUUGUAGCAUUAGUCCACGUCGUCAUACCGGUUUGCAGCUCCGAUGUACAUAAUGGAACGGUUGUAGCAUUAGUCGGCAAACUCGAAUUACAACUCUGACAAACCAUCAAAGAGCGAUGCAAACAAGGAACAGGGGGAAGGGGGAGGAUGAAAGGAGGGAGGUCGGCAGCACCAGAGGUCACCAGUGAAGGGGGGAGGAUGAAAGGAGGAAGGUCGAGUGGUGAAAGGAAGAAGGUUAAGGCAAAAGAAAAGACAAAACCCUCGAAGAAGGACAAGGUUAAGGCAAAAGAAAAGGGACGCUACUAGGUAACGCGCGCGCGCUGUACGACACGAUGUAGCGGCCGCCCAUAUCAGGCAGGCCACGUGCAGUCCCCUCCUGGAAAAGGAAAGUGUCAUCCAUCCCCGCGCACAUGACCAUGUCCCGUCAGGAGAAAACCUAGCGACACUCCAGCCCACGCGUGACCUUCCAACUGAAACCCUAUGCCCCUCCUAAUCCCUCUGUAACUCUCUCCCCUCUCCUCCCCACUUUUCUCCCCAGCCACUCCCGGAGGCAUGGCCUAGAUGGGGGAGGGGAGCUUCGUGUCCAACAAUAACAGUAGGAAUCCAGGCAAAAAAUCAAAGGAAGAAAAGCAAAGAAACAGAAAACUCUGUUAGAUUUGUGUGUGAUCAGGCAACAAAUCUGGUGUAAGAAGAAACGUUUGAAAAAACUGGUUUGCCAGCAACGCCAGACCAGAAUGCAAUAUUGCUUGGUUGGAUAUUUUCCCUGAAGAAAACCCUCUUGUAUUCCCUGGAAACUGAUAAUUUGGUGACUAGUGUGCUGUGUGCAAUUGGAUCAUGGCAUUGUGAUUGAACAGAUAUCGCCCGCCCCAAGCCCAGUUAUAUUGCCUACUGAAUAUGGAUGCUGAGAAAUCCCUAUGUAUAUGUUGCCUGUUGUACAGAUAUAUUUUACAGUGAUGUGUUGCCUACGGCCUACCGAAACACACUGAUGCUCGAGUUUUUAUGGUAUUUUUGCUCACAUACAUCUCUCAGUGUUGCCCACAAAAUAUGUUCCCUCCUAAACACAUAUUUUACAGUUUUGCCUACUGAAAAAUACAGAUGCUGCUAAAACUUAUGCAGUCUUUUUGUCAGCUUAUCUCUCUCAGUGUUGUCUAUAACAAAAAUUCCCUCUAAAAUUGUUGCCUGCAUCAUGAAAAUCUGGGUGUAUUUCUAAAGCUGGUGCAAACACAUCACGUGUGUGCCUGACUGUUUUCCCUUGUGGAAACUCUACAAGAAUGAGUAAUUAUACUGCAUCUCUAAAAUCCAUUGCACCGUGAUAAAUGGUUUUGCCAUGGAUGAGAGUAGCUAGCCCUACUCGUGCUGCCUUCAUCAAUCAAUUCGGAUAAAAAAACUGCGCUCGAGGGGCAUCAAGAGAAAUUGCUACGCAGCGCAUCAACAAUCCCCUACAGCCACAAAAAGCUGACCUCUGGUUGCAGAUGUAGCAGAGACCCCUCGUCCGUCCGUCGACCCGCCGCCGGGCGCAACCACGCCUAGCUCCUUCCCCUAUUCUCCCAUCGCGCAUGCGAGCCGCCCUCUCCUCGCAGUCCAUUCUCUGUUGCCCCCUCUCCUCCAAUGUGGUGCUCGCUCUACCAGUAGGUGUCUCUGUCAUUGUCGGUGGGAUCUCCCCCUCCAAUGUGGUGCUCGCUCUACCAGUAGGUGUCUCUGUCAUUGUCGGUGGGAUCUCGCCGGCUCUUCCCCUAUUCUCCCAUCGCGCAUGCGAGCCGCCCUCUCCUCGCAGUCCAUUCUCUGUUGCCCCCUCCCCUCCAAUGUGGUGCUCGCUCUACCAGUAGGUGUCUCUGUCAUUGUCGGUGGGAUCUCCCCCUCCAAUGUGGUGCUCGCUCUACCAGUAGGUGUCUCUGUCAUUGUCGGUGGGAUCUCGCCGGCUGCGCUCACGCCCAAUGAGGAUUUCCCUCCUAUCGCCGUGCCGCACGGUCCGUGUGAAGAGAGUGUGGGGAGGGAAACAGCGAGAGAGAAAGAAUCAGUGGGGGCACGUUUCCGAAAAAAAUCGAAACGCAAGCGACAAAGCGCACCGCUGACCCCUAUCCCCUGGUUGCUCCACCACGCACACGUGUCGCAAUCCCUGCGGCCGCUCCAACGCGCCGGAUAGCGCGUGCGUGGCCCAGCAUUUGGGAAAGAAAGACAAAACCCUCGAAGAAGGACACGGGACAUAUGGAUCAAACGCGAGCGACGGGACGAGCCAAACGUUCCCCUUUAAGAAACAAGGAAUGACGGAAAGGCGUUUAAGAAUCAAUGCAUGACACAGAAAGCAAAGAGUUAAGGUCCACAAUGAAUGCAUGACUUCGAAAGUGAUACAAAGACUGUUCCACGAAGAAUUCAACUUCCACCCAAAGUGCGCUCACAGCUGACUUAGGAUAAGGUUUCCAGCUGAGCAGAUAAUGUAGAGCAACAUGUUUCAACAAACAGCAAAUUUAAAA